rnacentral:misc_RNA from 1 species
UUUCCGUAGGUGAACCUGCGGAAGGAUCUUUAAUGAGUUGUCAUGGGGUUCGAUGCUGGCAGCCAAUUUUUGGAUGCAUGUGCUUGCCCUAACAAUCAUCUUCCAAACACCUGUGCACAUUUUUGAGGGAGUCUUGAGUUGGUUGCCGCUCUUGGGUGAUUUUCUCACAUUCCCUUAAAUCAUUAUACGCUAUUAACAAUGUUGAACGUGCUCUGUGCCGCAAGGCUAUUAAUAUAAUACAACUUUUAACAACGGAUCUCUUGGCUCUCGCAACGAUGAAGAACGCAGC